AUUGAACGCUGGCGGCAGGCCUAACACAUGCAAGUCGAGCGGAGCGGCGGACGGGUGAGUAAUGCCUAGGACUCUGCCUGGUAGUGGGGGAUAACGUCCGGAAACGGGCGCUAAUACCGCAUACUAUCAGAUGAGCCUAGGUCGGAGUGGCUAGUUGGUGGGGUAAAGGCCUACCAAGGCGACGAUCCGUAACUGGUCUGAGAGGAUAAUCAGUCACACUGGAACUGGGAAACGGUCCAUACGCCGACGUGAGGCAGCAGUGGGGAAUAUUGUGCAAUGGGCGAAAGCCUGAUCCAGCCAUGCCGCGUGUGUGAAGAAGGUCUUCGGAUUGUAAAGCACUUUAAGUUGGGAGGCGUUACCAACAGAAUAAGCACCGGCUAACUUCGUGCCAGCCGCCGCGGUAAUUC
rnacentral:rRNA from 1 species